UCGGGAAUUUUGGGCAAUGGGCGAAAGCCUGACCCAGCAACGCCGCGUGAAGGAUGAAGUAUUUCGGUAUGUAAACUUCGAAAGAAUAGGAAGAAUAAAUGACGGUACUAUUUAUAAGGUCCGGCUAACUACGUGCCAGCAGCCGCGGUAAUACGUAGGGACCAAGCGUUGUUCGGAUUUACUGGGCGUAAAGGGCGCGUAGGCGGUGUGUCAAGUCAGUUGUGAAAUCUCCGAGCUUAACUCGGAACGGUCAACUGAUACUGUCACACUAGAGUACAGAAGGGGCAAUCGGAAUUCUUGGUGUAGCGGUGAAAUGCGUAGAUAUCAAGAGGAACACCUGAGGCGAAGGCGGGUUGCUGGGCUGAUACUGACGCUGAGGCGCGAAAGCUAGGGUAGCAAACGGGAUUAGAUACCCACGUAGUCCCUGAGCGGGCUGGCAAGGCGCAU
rnacentral:rRNA from 1 species